rnacentral:rRNA from 1 species
GACGAACGCUGGCGGCGUGCCUAAUACAUGCAAGUCGAACGCAGAAGCGGGAGCUUGCUUCUCUGGAUGAUUUGCGAACGGGUGAGUAACGCGUAGGUAACCUGCCUCUUAGCGGGGGAUAACUAUUGGAAACGAUAGCUAAUACCGCAUAAGAGUAUAUGUUGCAUGACAUUUGCUUAAAAGGUGCAAUUGCAUCACUACCAGAUGGACCUGCGUUGUAUUAGCUAGUUGUUGGGGUAACGGGUCACCAAGGCGACGAUACAUAGCCGACCUGAGAGGGGGAUCGGCCACACUGGGACUGGGACACGGCCCAGACUCCUACGGGAGGCAGCCGUAGGGAAUCUUCGGCAAUGGACGGAAGUCUGACCGAGCAAAGCCGCGUGAGUGAAGAAGGUUUUCGGAUCGUAAAGAUCUGUUGUAAGAGAAGAACGAGUGUGAGAGUGGACAGUUCACACUGUGACGGUAUCUUAUCAGAAAGGGACGGCUAACUACGUG